GCUGGGCGUGGUGGUGUGCGCCUGUAAUCCCAGCUACUUGGGAGGCUGAGACAGGAGACUCACUUGAACCUGGGAGGCGGAGGUUGCAGUGAGCCGAGACUGCGCCAUUGCACUCCAGCCUGGGUAACAGACUGAGAUUCUGUCUCAA
rnacentral:SRP_RNA from 2 species